rnacentral:lncRNA from 1 species
ACGGGCGCCGAGAGGGCCACGCCGGAGCCCCAGUGUCAGCCCCAGUCCGGCCCCUGCUCCAGGAGUGACCCAGGAAGAGGCCCUCGGCAACAAGGGCACAGAGCAGCUACUGCGGCCCUCCCAAUGGCGCAUGGACUUCCGCGAGAGCCCGCCCGGCACCCGUACUCUGUCCGUCAGGAAAAUAAGCACCACCCCCGCCACGCUUCCUAGGAGGGCAGCACAAACGGUCCGUGGAGGAUUAGUGCCUGCGCUCAGAGCCCCCAGAGGAGACAGCCGCAUUACGCCUCCCACCACCCCUUCCCUCCUUCUUUGUUUCCGGGUUGGAGUUACGAAAUUGAGUUUCCCAGGUCAAAGAUUUGGAGAGGAAAAAAAAACUGCACCAAGGACUACUAAAAUACCUUAUUGGCUAAGAAAGUAUGGCUCCAUUGUAGAUACUCAAACUGAAGACAUGCCUCAGCCCUACACACUCCUGAGGUGAGGUAAAGUUUUAAAUUGAAUUUAUGUUGUUUUUCCAGACUUCUCUUUUCCUUCCACCAUUGAAAGAGUAGACAGCUUUUGUAAUUUCUUUACAUCAGGGAGGUUAGCAGGAAGGUAGUGUGGGGGAAUUCAAAGGCUGUUUUGCUGAAAGCUUUCUAUGAAAGCUUAAGCCUGUGUUGGAAUUUUGCUAGGAGCCUAGGAGUAGAGAGAGGGCCUUGGAGAAGCAAAAGUUGGGAGGGUAGAGAUUCCUAGAGGCCAGAAAGAGGAGAAUGUUCUCCCCUAACUACCCUCCCUGUACAUGGAAGAGAUUAAGACCUCUGAGUGUUCACAGCCCCCCAGAAGAUCUCACCUAAGCAUGAUCAGAAACCGCAGAUCCAUCAGAUUCAAAAGGAUCAUGAAGACUAGGAAUCUGGGGGGACUCCAGAGGUUACCUAUGACCACUAAUUAGAAAAAGAACUAUUUUCUGUGCACAUGGUUAUCUAUGACCAGUAUAUCCAUGUGGUGGAAAUAUCGUAUGAUAGUGUGCUGCAUAUCUCUUUCCAACCCUGCAUUCAUUAGUUAUUGUGGCAGUAUUUACACCAUAGAAUUCAGCAAACACUACCAAUCAGGGCUUGAUUUAUUAUUUUGCUGAUUGUUUAAGCUUAAGAAAGUUAUGAAAAAACAGUAAUACUAUGGGUUAAAUUUAAAUUUUUUACCGUUUAUUCAUUUUUGAGAGACAGAGACAGAGCAUGAGCGGACAAGGGGCAGAGAGAGGGAGACACAGAAUCUGAAGCAGGCUCCAGGCUCUGCGCUGUCAGCACAGAGCCCACGCAGGGCUCAAACUCACGAACUGCAAGGUCAUGACCUGAGCUGAAGUCAGACACUCAACCGACUGAGCCACCCAGGCACCCCUACUAUGGGUUACAUUUAGAAGUGUGUUGUAUCUGUGGCUAUCUCAUUGUGAAGAGCACAGAAAACUGAGGAAAUAUCCUUCCAGUUUUUAAAACAUUUUAACUGAUUCA